rnacentral:rRNA from 1 species
GACGAACGCUGGCGGCGUGCUUAACACAUGCAAGUCGAACGGACAGGCCCUGCUCUUGUGGGGUGCUCGAGUGGCGCACGGGUGAGUAACACGUGAGUAACCUGCCCCUGUAUUUGGGAUAACUUCAGGAAACUGGGGCUCAUACCGGAUAGGAGCUCCUGCUGCACGGUGGGCGUUGGAAAGAUUCGGCGGUUGGGGAUGGACUCGCGGGUUAUCAGCUUGUUGGUGGAGUAGUGGCUUACCAAGCCUUUGAGGGAUAGCCGGCCUGAGAGGGUGACCGGGCACCAGGGUACUGAGAGACGGCCCAGUAGGGUACGGGACGCAACAGGGGAGAGUCUGGCGGAGCGGGCGGGAGCGAGAGGCAGCGGUCCCGCGAGCGUGAUGACGGCUUUUGGGUUGUAAACAACUUUGGCCGGAGACGAGGCGGGAGUGACGGUAACUGGUAAAGAAGCACCGGCUAACUACGUG